rnacentral:pre_miRNA from 10 species
GCAGGACGGACACGCCAGGCCUGGCUGUAUUCUACAGUGCAUGUGUCUCCAGUGUGAGUAAGUGACUGGAGAUGCAGCCCUGUUGGAAUAACAACCGGGACCACAUCAUCAGCUGCGAU